GCCCCUGUAGCUCAGCGGAUAGAGCAGCUGCCUUCUAAGCAGACGGUCGGGGGUUCGAGUCCCUCCAGGGGCG
rnacentral:tRNA from 1 species